AGUUGAAAACUAUGCAAAACGCUGUUAAAACGGUGUCAUACUCUUCUCUAUUAUGAGCUCUUGAUAUAUAACAUAAGUGUAGCGUAUAAGUGCAGAAUCUCGAUCUGUUGGUUGUCUGAGGUUGUCUUGCAGAUGACGAACCCAUCUGUGCUGCAUUAAUCGAUAACCAUCCAUGCGUAAUGGUAAACAUUUUAGCAUUUCAUCAUCAUGAAAUUGCCCCGUGCUGGAUUUGGAUGAUCGGCAGUUUGCUGACUGUGUGAGACAAACGUCACACAGAAUAGUUGCGCCAAGAAUAUUUCCAAGAACGUUUUCGUCGUGUGGAGCGAACGUCACGAGUCUCUUGAUAUGUAGGAUGGAUAUAGGAAGGAGAUCAUACUAUAUUUGUAAAUGACGUAGAGACCGCAAAGAGGCUAUUUGAGUACGGAUUGCUAUACAAAUUCCAUCGUUUGCACAAGUGUGAAACUAUUACACAUAUCAAGUACCAAUAACACAAGCUGGGUAGGUCUGUCUCUGGUUUCGUGUAUCCAUGAAUGUACUUGCGUUGAAAGCUGUUGGUAUAUAUAAAAGGAAUCCGUCUAUGUUGGUAUAUUGUUUUAUCCUUUAUGCAGAGAAGCGAUAUUUUACCGUUCGUGUUCAUGGAAGAUUAUUACGAUGAAUGUGUCAAUGAAUCGUUGUUUAACCCUCUGUGUGGAGAAAUGAUUAUUGCUCGCUCUAUGUAGAUGGGUAAUUGUUGUCUGAUGAAUUUUAUAAAAUUGGUGUUUACAUGUAUAUGAGUCAUAUUUAUCCAAAGAUGUUUUAGUCAUUGUAAAUAUUUCGUGGCUAUAUGAUUUUGCUUUUAUUAUCCGUCUUCUACAUUAGCUGAACGAUCUUAUAUUUGAGGUUUUAGCUCAAGCUACGUAUAUGUAUGUAAAAUGCCCUCAUGUCGUUAUAUAUUAUGGUCAUUAUUGCGGUUUUGCGGGACAAGUCAAGAAAUGUAUAGAAUUUUACUUUAUUUUAUUCUACAUGUUACUGAAGAGAAGACGAUCGUUAACGCACAACGCCGUUAUGAAUUCGUUUGGCAAACUUCAGUCGAAUCCGCGACUCUCUUUACUUACCUUUUUUCAGUUAGGUAGUGCGACAGAAUCGGUUGAGGUGUGGUUGCUAUUUAUUUUGGGUCGGACAUUUAGAGAUAUGCGUGUUGCAGCCGAUUUUCGGGCAUAUAUAUAUAUAUAUAUAUAUAUAUAUAUAUAUAUAUACGCGCGCACGCACACAAACACAAAGUACUCCAUGUGAUUUUAAGCACUCUGCAUCUACUGCAACAGGUAGUACAUUUUUGUGCAUAUUCGUCAAAAGGAAACUAUAUUCUUGGUUUCAAAAUCAGAGAUAUAUUAACUACCUUGAUACCAUAAAGUAGACCUAAAGUAACAUUUAUAUAGCAUAUAUAUGUGCGUACGUGCGUGUGUGCGUGCGCGUGUAUGUGUGCGCGCGUUUGUACUUAAAUGUGCGCCAGUUUGCUGCGUGCUUGCGUUGUAUACGUGUGCCACAAAAAAUCCCUGUCUCGUAUUUACAACGCUUAAAAACAAAAUGUCUGUAGAGAUAUUACCAUAUGCAUAGUCGCUGCCUACGUACCUUCGGAGCUCCGUAAGGCUCACAAACUCUUGUUAUUAGUUUGGCAUCAACAGGUAAUGGUGCUAUAUGAUGAUGUUAAGCUUUUCAGGUUGGUGUGCGGUUUGUAAUGAUGUCGGUGGUGCUAUUUACGAUGAUUUGGUAGCGAUUGCUAAACUUCGCAGGCAACCUGAGGAUGCGGUGAACAUAAUGUGUAGAUGCUAGUUAGUCCGGCACCUUCAUAAAAACCGGUCUCAGAUGAUGGCUAGUCAAACUUUGUUAACUGUCAUGCUUAUGCUCACGUUUUGUCUAAUACUAGUAGUUGUUUUUCGCAUCGUAAGAACAAGCGAUUAAUACGAAAUGCAAUAUCUAUGAGUUAAUGCCUGUAUACAGACUACGAUACAAACUGUAGGAAACAUUGCGUACCAUUGUCUUCACUUGCUUGAUAUCGUUGAACGUUUUGAGUCGUUAUACAUAUUGUCGUUGUGAACUUACAUAACUUUAUUACUGCCGAUUUGUAGACUUCAUAUUCACCACGGCAUAUAAGUCGUGUUUCAUGAACCCAUACCCGUCAUAUAGACGUUUGUAUAUCAUCGUGCAGGGAUAUCAUGUAAGUUAACUGGGAAGUAUAAUCAAUCAUACCUGUUAUCACAGCGUAAGUGAACGAAAUGCGUUGCAAAUAUUUGUCUAUUUGUCGCGGCGUCUGUGUGUUCAUUGCUAGACUUCAUGAUGCUUUAUUGUUGCACUGCUAUGCAUAGCACAUGAUCGAUCAUGUAAGAAGUGGAAAUCCUGGCAGGCAUGAUAUAAUCAGGAGUACUCUCGAUAUAAUGUGUAGGGCCGAAGUUCUAUUUACGGGCGUAAUUGUACUAAACGGGGAACCGCUCGCGCAUGAUUCGUAUUUUCUCUCUGUGCUAGUCUUCGAUCUAUCGUCAUCGUCGUUGCUACACUGCGAUGACGUAAUCGUGGGUGCACGGGACAUAAUUCGGGCAGUUUUAUUUUCAAGAAUUCCGUUUCCAUUUCACCUGCUGUACGGUGUUAUUGUGUACGGAAUGUAAAAUGUGCAGUUACAUCGGUUCUAUGUAGAUAUGUUCCUAUGUAAUUGUUGCCGAUGGUAUGAUGCGCAAUCGGUUCAAUAGAUGUCGCACAUGAUCAGAUGGGGGUUGGCCUGCGUGAAUCCGUGAAGAUUGUUCAUAGUUCGUGAUAUAAUUCAUCAUAUAAAAACACGUACCGACCAUUCACAACCACACCGUCUCGCACGCACGCACGCACGCACACAUGCAAACAACAAACAAGCACCGCACACUUUCACGCACACUAUCGAUUGUUACUUGUUAUUCCAUUCCAUACCUCUUUAAAGUGCCAUAUCAUACAGAUGAUGCACAAUACUAUAUAUAUAUAUAUAUACCGUGCAGGUUACAGCGCAGUAUUAUCAAUCUGAAAUGUUGGAGCAACCGGAAAGGUUCGUGAAGGGCAAAAUGUCAGAGUUGUGAAGAGAGGGAGACGUGUCAUGUUAAAACAUCCCCAUCUGAUCAUUCCGACAGUUACGCGCUAACGUGUUAUCUAUCUAUCGUCCACGUUAUAUCAUCAGCCGUCGUCGUCGUCGUCGUCGCCAUCGUCGCCAUCGUCAUUAUUGUCGUCAUCAUCAACAUCAUGACAAUAAGUACAACCGUUUUCGUCCUAAUUUUACGUAAACUUAAAAACGCAACCAUUCAUUGCCUUGCGUAAUAUAAUAUCUAUCAGUCGUUAUGUUGGUAUUAUAUAAAACGACCUUACUACUCGUUACGGGCAAGCGCGAGGAGGGGAUGAGAAGCAGAUGUAAUUUCAAUACGAUUUUAGGAUGGAUUAAAUCCAGAUUUAAAUAUGGACGAUAUGAAACCUCGUCACUGGGGCCGCAUCUCGUUUCCCAGUUGCUUUUGGUCACUUCAAACUGUAACUCUACGUCUGUGUGACUGACCGGAUCGUUGCUCCAAAGUGUAGAUAGUUCCGAGACGUUGUAUUUUUACGUGAACCUGUGUCGUCCUGUAGGUGCAAGUGUCAUGUGACAGAUACUUGUGUCACAAGUCAGGUGCUCGUGUCACAUGACAUGUGCCGGUGUCACAUGUCAGACGCUGCUGUCACAUGUCAGGUGCUGCUGUCACAUGGCAGGUGUUAGUAUGACACGGGUAAAGGUCACGGUCGCAGUCAGUGUCACAUCUUUGUAGUUACACGAACGGUACCACACAGCCGCUGUCAUCAGUAGACGUUUUCCGCCUCAUUACUCCAAACUGCAUAAUGUUUGUUAAUUCGUCUGUGGUAACAUGAAAAACUAAAAGUUAUAAAUAAAAGCAGUAUUUAUUUAGAA
rnacentral:lncRNA from 1 species